UGUAUGAUCUGUCCACAGAGAGUGUCUAUA
rnacentral:piRNA from 1 species